rnacentral:tRNA from 1 species
AAUCUUUGAGCUUGAUUUAUUAAGCAUGGUAUUGAAGAUACUAAGAUAUUCAUUAUUGAUUAAGGGUUA